rnacentral:rRNA from 1 species
GAAGCGGCAACAGCUCAAAUUUGAAAUCUGGCGCAAGCCCGAGUUGUAAUUUGCAGAGGAUGCUUCGAGGCAGCGGCCGGUCUAAGUUCCUUGGAACAGGACGUCAUAGAGGGUGAGAAUCCCGUAUGUGAUUGGCUCGCACCUCACACGUAGCUCCUUCGACGAGUCGAGUUGUUUGGGAAUGCAGCUCUAAAUGGGAGGUAAAUGUCUUCUAAAGCUAAAUACCGGCCAGAGACCGAUAGCGCACAAGUAGAGUGAUCGAAAGAUGAAAAGCACUUUGGAAAGAGAGUUAAAAAGCACGUGAAAUUGUUAAAAGGGAAGGGCAUGCAACCAGACUUGCCGGUGGUGUUCCGCCGGUCUUCUGACCGGUCUACUCGCCGCUGGCAGGCCAACAUCGUCUGGGUGCGCCGGAUAAAGGUGUCGGGAAUGUGGCCCCUCGGGGUGUUAUAGCUCGACACACAAUACGGCGCCGCUCGGGCGAGGUCCGCGCUUCGGCUAGGAUGUUGGCGUAAUGGUUGUAUGCCGCCCGUCUUGAAACACGGACCAAGGAGUCUAACAUCUAUGCGAGUGUUCGGGUGUCAAACCCCUACGCGGAAUGAAAGUGAACGGAGGUGGGAACCGCAAGGUGCACCAUCGACCGAUCCUGAUGUCUUCGGAUGGAUUUGAGUAAGAGCAUAGCUGUUGGGACCCGAAAGAUGGUGAACUAUGCCUGAAUAGGGUGAAGCCAGAGGAAACUCUGGUGGA